rnacentral:rRNA from 1 species
GCACCAUCAAGACUAGGUGGUUGAUAGGCACGGUGUGGAAGUGCAGCAAUGCAUUGAGCUUACGUGUACUAAUGAGCCGUGAGGCUUGACCAUA